rnacentral:tRNA from 1 species
GCCGCCUUAGCUCAGUCGGCAGAGCAUCUCACUCGUAAUGAGAAGGUCGUCAGUUCGAUUCUGACAGGCGGCUCC